rnacentral:rRNA from 1 species
GUACGGGAGGCAGCAGUGGGGAAUUUUGGACAAUGGGCGCAAGCCUGAUCCAGCCAUUCCGCGUGCAGGAUGAAGGCCCUCGGGUUGUAAACUGCUUUUGUACGGAACGAAAAGGCUCUUUCUAAUACAAGGGGCUCAUGACGGUACCGUAAGAAUAAGCACCGGCUAACUACGUGCCAGCAGCCGCGGUAAUACGUAGGGUGCAAGCGUUAAUCGGAAUUACUGGGCGUAAAGCGUGCGCAGGCGGUUAUGUAAGACAGAUGUGAAAUCCCCGGGCUCAACCUGGGAACUGCAUUUGUGACUGCAUAGCUAGAGUGCGGUGGAGGGGGAUGGAAUUCCGCGUGUAGCAGUGAAAUGCGUAGAUAUGCGGAGGAACACCGAUGGCGAAGGCAAUCCCCUGGACCUGUACUGACGCUCAUGCACGAAAGCGUGGGGAGCAAACAGGAUUAGAUACCCUGGUAGC